GACGAACGCUGGCGGCGUGCCUAAUACAUGCAAGUCGAGCGGACGAAUCGAAAGCUUGCUUUUGAUUCGUUAGCGGCGGACGGGUGAGUAACACGUGGGCAACCUGCCCUGUAGACGGGGAUAACACCGAGAAAUCGGUGCUAAUACCGGAUAACACGAAAUGUCGCAUGACGUUUCGUUGAAAGACGGCGCAAGCUGUUGCUAUAGGAGGUGCCCGCGGCGCAUUAGCUAGUUGGUGAGGUAACGGCUCACCAAGGCGACGAUGCGUAGCCGCCAUGAGAGGGUGAGCGGCCACCCUGGGAGUGAGACACGGCCCAGACGCCUACGGGAGGCAGCCGUAGGGAAUCUUGCGGAAAGGACGGAAGUCUGACGGAGCAACGCCGCGUGAGGGAAGAAGGCCUUCGGGUCGGAAAGCUCUGUUGUUAGGGAAGAACCAGUAACGCAGUAACUGGCGUUACCGUGACGGUACCUAACGAGAAAGCCACGGCUAACUACGUG
rnacentral:rRNA from 1 species